rnacentral:rRNA from 1 species
UGGGGAAUAUUGGACAAUGGGGGGAACCCUGAUCCAGCCAUGCCGCGUGUGUGAAGAAGGCCUUAUGGUUGUAAAGCACUUUAAGCGAGGAGGAGGGUACUGGUAUUAAUACUACCAGCUACUGGACGUUACUCGCAGAAUAAGCACCGGCUAACUCUGUGCCAGCAGCCGCGGUAAUACAGAGGGUGCGAGCGUUAAUCGGAUUUACUGGGCGUAAAGCGUGCGUAGGCGGCUAAUUGAGUCGGAUGUGAAAUCCCCGAGCUUAACUUGGGAAUUGCAUUCGAUACUGGUUAGCUAGGGUGUGGGAGAGGAUGGUAGAAUGCCAGGUGUAGCGGUGAAAUGCGUAAAGAUCUGGAGGAAUACCGAUGGCGAAGGCAGCCAUCUGGCCUAACACUGACGCUGAGGUACGAAAGCAUGGGGAGCAAACAGG